GGGGUCCCAUGGGACAGGUUCUUCCAAACAUUAAAACUGAGUUUCAGGUUGGCGAUAUUGGCUGAGAUCCCCGCCUCUCCUCCCUCUAUGUAAUGACCGUCAAACUCGGGGAUCCGGGCCACCUCCUUCUUCAGGUUGAAGUCCAUGUAGAAAACCUCAUCUCCGUCCACCAACAGAUCAAAGUGUUUAUUGGGACUGCGCUCCUGAACAAAAUAGACAAGGGUGUUUUCGUGUAGAUCUGUGUGUGUGUGAGAGAGAGAGGGAGAGGAUUAGACAGGCCCCACACUGAGACAGUGACCCAGGGACAAAACAUCAUUUGAUAAAAACAGCAAUAAGCAGAUAUCAAACCCAGUUAAGACACCAGGGAGGGAAGUUCUGGAAACAUCAAGACUGAUCUGGGAUGUGUUUUAACUCCACCUGUAUCAGGAUCUCUGUGAAUGUGCUCAUUCUCACAGCUACUCUGGCUCACGGGGUGAACAUUAUCCCCUCCCACCUCAGACAGGUACAACACUCAAAUACUGAAACAAAAACAGAAAUAGCUGGAGAAACCCAGCAGGAAUGGCAGCUUCUGUGAAGAUAGAGAGAAACAGAGUUAACGUUUCGGCUCCAGUGACCCACCUCCUGAAGAUCUGAGUGCUGCAGGGGUGUGCAUUUGAAGGGACUAACACGGCCAAGUCCAUCAGAAGGGCUUGGGCCUUUCUGUGCCCUAAUGCAGUUUAGAGCAAACAUCAGUAGUUGUUCGCCUGUGGAAUGAACCUUCAGAGGAAGUGGUGGAUAUGUAACUGGAUUUCACCCACUAUGGAGCUCUUAGUCUGCUGUCAGUGCCUGUGUGUGUCUCUCUCAAGUUCAGUUUCUAUCUGACUGUAUGAACUCUAAGAGUGACAGAAUGACUCAAACUUUGGCACCAUCUCAAUGUACUGUGUUUUGCUACAGCUUUGACUGGGGAAUGCUGAUUCUUCCUCCACAUGUGAAAUGUGAUAGGCACUUCCGGUAAGCAUUGACGGAUACCGUGACCCACAAAGUCUUCAAGUGCAUGAGCAAACCUUUGCUGUAAAGUGAGCUGGGAAGGCAUGGGAGUUGUAUAUGGGGAAGGGAGAAGAGGCAGGGGUGAACCUCAUGAGAACUCAAGGGGCACCUGGCUUGCAAAUCACAGAUAUUGAACCACUGGACAAGGAUGCCGCCCCCUUGCACAGGCAGGGAAUCAAGGCAGCGUCACGGGAGUGUCAUGCAGUACCAGAAGGUCCUGAAGUAGCAGGAAGACUAACCCCAAGGUCCAGGGUCCAGGAGUAUUCUGAGCACCUGACCCACCAAAACAGGCUGCUUCCCCUGGAGACGUCUGAGGGUAGUAACCAAUGUCUGAGCCUUCUUAGUGAUGAAUUAGCACUAAGAAACAUCUAGCGAUAGGCUUUUCCAGUAAGCAUUGACGGAUACCGUGACCCACAAAGUCUUCAACUCAGGUUUGUUCCAGGGUUCUGUUGCUGAGCUCUGUGGGAUGUCUCAGUCAUCAUCACAUCCAUGCCAUCACGAUGUCCUCUUCACAAGUGUCUCUGACUUUAUCACCCUUUCAAAAAAUACAACCUCACAACUGCACAGGGCAAUGGAUUUUGCAUCAAUAGCUGACUUCCCAUGGGAGCCAGGGCAUCAUAGACUGAACUCAGGAAGGACAGAGCCAACAUGUUCAUUAACAGGAAGGUCUACCAUCAGUGCCCAGCUGGAGUGUGACCAUUGAGAGUUUUCAUGCAGCUGCCUUACACAGAGUCCAGGCUGAUGCUGCACUUUCACCUGACUCCUCUGGUGCAUGGUUGCUCUGUGUGACAAGGACUACCCACUAAGCAGUUGCUCCUAACAUUCCUGUGAGGAUCCCAAGCCCCAGGUCACUACAGCAAGAGUAACUAAGACACUAGAACACUCGUUGAACAGACUACAUGCAAGGGACCUACUCAAAAGGAGAUUUUGAUGCCUUGAUUGCUCUGGUAAAUCGCCGCAAUAUUCAUUUUACCGGGUAUCUGGAUUGGUUGUCAUGUGCUGCAUUGCUACUCAACAUAGCACAGCAGAGGAGUACUCUGCUGGACGAGGCAGUCAACGAAGGAGACCUUGUGUGCAUGCAGGCUGAAGAAGAGCAGGAUGAGGGAGAAGGGCAGGACAGAGGACUCCGAUGUUCAGGGUGGACUGAAGCAACGUGACGCUGCUAGGCCUGGGGAUAUGAAGAGGGAUCCAGGCUGGCCUUUUGAGUCCACUGCGUAGCACUUCUGUGACUUGCUGCAGAAAACAGCCUGUUUGCAGGUGAGUGCAGAGACAGGCUGGGCCAGCAGUCCCUCAGUGCUCAGUUUUCUUAGGCAGCAAAGCAAGAAGUCUUGGGAAUGUGGGGUGAUUGUGAUAUUAUUGAGGUUCACACUCGGCCUGAUUUCAGAGGGACAGCAAAGAGUUAGCCGGCAAUGAGAUCAACAGUGACAAUAACUACUUACAAUACAGAAUUCCCACCAUAAUGUUUCCUUCAGUGGAGAUCUUGGAUUUCUUGUAACGUGAAGAUGAUACUUAGGCAGACCUUUAUCAGCCCUGUUUCACCCACCUUAGAUUUCAAAUCUUGCCGCCGCACCCCACCCCACCCCACUUGGCUGCUGUUGUUUCUGGCCCCCCUGUGCUGGAUUAGGUAGCAGCAAGGCCAACUCCAUUCCUGCCACAAGUCUGUCUGUUGAAAAUCCACUGUCAAGAUGGAGACAGGAUCAUGAUGCUGGGAAAUGUGCCAAUUCUCAAUUCCUGCCUUGAAGAUGAAAAUCCAGUUCCAGGAUUUUUGAGAAAACUGUUCAUGGAGACAACCAAACUGUGCUGCAUCCCUCUGGCAACUCCCUGUCCAAUCAGAGUCCACCUGCCUGGCCUGAGAAUAAAGAUUGACAGUUCACUGUUCUUGCUGUAUUGUUAACGGCAGUGAUAUUCCAACUGAUCAGUACUGUGUUCUCAUUCUGUAUAAGAUUGGGUCUUCUUUUUCUCAAAGUUUGUGCUUUGUGUCCUACUUCCAGCGAAUGCUAAACUGAAAGCUUCAACUUCUCACCUUCUUUGAGGUUUAAGAUUUUAGCUGCACGUAUUAAAUAUCAUCCACCUUACACCUUCCAUUGCCCCACCUUGACAUUCGUAUGGAGCCUCCUGAAGCUCAGGGGCUAUGAAUUGGUGUCUUGUCAGUCAUAAAGAAGGGUGUAGGGAUAAGAUACCAGAGGAGUACUAAGUACCAAUCAGUGCAGGAACAAAGACAGAAUAAGAAUAUAACAAAAUGCCAUUUGACCACUCAAGUCUGCUCAGCCAUUCAAUAAAAUCAUGGCAGAUUUGAAUGUAAUCUUAACUUCACUCUCCUGUCUGCCUAUAAUAACCCUUGACGCCCUGUAGAUCAAAAAAUCUUUCAAAAUCUUCUUUAAAUGUAUUCAAUGACCCAGGCUGCGCUACCUUCUGAGGUGAAGACAUCCAAAGACUACUGACAGUCUGAGAGGAAAAAGAGGUGAAGGAUUCCUAAAUGUGUACAGGAGAACUUUCCAAAUGCUGUGUUUUUCUACUGCAAUGUGGGUUAUUUAAUAAACAACUGGAAUGAUGAACA